GCUGGUUACGCGUAAAAGUCUACGCUUCUAAAGCUUCAGCAACAACAUCUGCUGGAAAAACAUGAUUGACGCAGCAGAGGGAACACCACCCGCCUCUGAGAAGCGGAAAAGACAGACGGAAACAUCAAUCUUGUGCAUAAAAUACAUUUAUUGUUGGUACAGAGAGAGGCAUGUUCGUCAGUACUUGGUAGGAGUGAGGAGCACAACAGAAUCGUUUCCCGUAAAUAAAGGCCAUGUUACAUCUGAAGUGUUGGAUCAUUAACAUCAUUCCAGCAGAAGGCCUGGAGAGAGACUUCAUGAAGUUACAUAAUUUGUGAUAUAAAUUAAAGCACAAUUUACGUCAUUUAUACACUGUAGGGAAAACUUCCAAUAUGGAUACAGGCUGCAGAGUGAGGAGCAUCGGCUGACGUCCCGGCACACCAAGUGUUACACACCCGCGCCUUGGACAGGGAGAAGUAUUUUUUUGAGGAGAUUCUACAAUAAAAUAGCAGCAUUUGAAGGAUAUUUCCCCUUUCUGAGGUCAGUGAAAGGUUCUUUUCUUUUCCUUCCUUCAAUCACCAAUAAGUGGAUUUUACUACGACUGAACAGUAUCUUCGGGCGUGUGAUUUCUGAUGUAAUAAGAUACAGGUCUUGGCUUUUCAAAUGGUCACACUGAUUGAGCUGUGAUGGCUGCUGCUCUUGAAAUGGCUCUUCCAGUUCUUCUCUUUAUUGGUCUGCCCUGUAAAUGGGCUGUCAUAUCAUUCUUGGGGGGAAAAAAAAAAAAUGCUCUUCUGCUGAAAUUAGAGUUGAUGGUCUUGUGCUUGAUUUGGACAAUGCCUUUAUCCUCCUCUCCCAAGCAUGCUCUGUUUGGCAUGGUUGACACAGUGCAGGUACUGGUUAGCCAGGGCAGAGCAGCUGAGGGUCUCCUGAGCGUGUUGCCGGUAACACUGUAGAAUUUUCUCCUGCAGGUCACCGCAGAUUGGAUGAGACUCGUAUCGUCUGGGGAAAGAGAAAAGAACAUUUUGGGCUCCUUCUCAAAAAAAGAUUUCAGGAAACAUGCAACUCUUUUAAAAAAGAAUUUUAAAAGAAGUAAACUCCAUCAUAGAAAAGAAGAACAAAGUUAUAAAGAAAGGCUGUUCCUAGAGCUAUUUGGGCUAUAAAGUGGGUAAAAUCAGACACAAACAUCAACAUGAGCUGCAGAAAUUUGGCUACUUGGACCACAAGUGUCCUCCUGAUCCAGUACUCGGGUUCCAGCUGGCAGAGGAAAUGAACACUCAACUUCCUAAAGACAUGCCUUUAACUGAAGACCCCAUGGAUGACAAAGCACAUCUGAUCUCACCUACGUUAGAAAAGCAGUCACAGAACCACAGGAGAGCUUCAUCGCUGCAUAAUCCUAUGAACACAUAAAUCUUGCUGCUUAUUAAAUACUGCUCCUGCAUAAAAGUGAAAUCACCCAUUGGGUUGACCUCGAAAAUACAAAAACCCUGCUACCAUCAGCAAAUUACACAACCUACUUCUGCUGAUCUGAUGAUAGCCUCUAUUUUUGGCGCAUCCUCCUUCCCAUCACCUCAGUUCUAAUCCUG
rnacentral:lncRNA from 1 species